UUGAUGGAGAGUUUGAUCCUGGCUCAGGACGAACGCUGGCGGCAUGCCUAAUACAUGCAAGUCGAACGGUUCUUAAGUUUAACUUCGGUUAAACUCAGGGAUAGUGGCGGACGGGUGAGUAACGCGUGGGCAACCUGCCCCAAAGACUGGGAUAACACUUCGAAAGGGGUGCUAAUACCGGAUGUG
rnacentral:rRNA from 1 species